CGUGUAGGCGGUUUGGUAAGUCAGAUGUAAAAGGCUCCGGCUUAACCGGAGAUGGUCAUUUGAAACUACCAGGCUUGAGUUCGAGAGAGGGUAGCGGAAUUCCCAGUGUAGCGGUGAAAUGCGUAGAUAUUGGGAAGAACACCAGUAGCGAAGGCGGCUACCUGGCUCGCAACUGAUGCUAAGGCGCGAAAGCGUGGGGAGCAAACA
rnacentral:rRNA from 1 species